CACAUACUCCCUUCGUCCCAAAAUUAUUGUCUUAAAUUUGUCUAGAUACGGAUUUAUCUGAUACUAAAAUAUGACUUGAAAUAUUCGUAUUUAGACAAAUCUUAUACAAGAAUUUUGAGAAGGAGGGAGUAUAUC
rfam:Triticum aestivum genome assembly, contig: Triticum_aestivum_CS42_TGACv1_scaffold_081205_1DS